rnacentral:rRNA from 1 species
UACAGAGGAUGCAAGCGUUAUCCGGAAUCAUUGGGCGUAAAGCGCGCGUAGGCGGCCCUGUAAGUCCGUUGUGAAAGUCAAAGGCUCAACCUUUGAAAGCCGAUGGAUACUGCAGGGCUAGAGUCCGGAAGAGGCGAGUGGAAUUCCUGGUGUAGCGGUGGAAUGCGCAGAUAUCAGGAGGAACACCAAUAGCGAAGGCAGCUCGCUGGGACGGUACUGACGCUAAGGCGCGAAAGCGUGGGGAGCGAACAGG